GACGAACCGUGCGAACGUUAUUCGGAAUCACUGGGCUUAAAGCGCGUGUAGGCGGAUUUGCGCGUCAUUCGUUGAAAGCCCUCGGCUCAACCGAGGAACUGGCGGUGAAACGGCAAGUCUAGAGGAACGCAGGGGGAUCUGGAACUUCCGGUGGAGCGGUGAUAUGCGUUGAGAUCGGAAGGAACGCCCGUGGCGAAAGCGAGAUCCUGGUCGUUAUCUGACGCUGAGACGCGAAAGCUAGGGGAGCAAACGGG
rnacentral:rRNA from 1 species